AACUGAUACUACCUGCGGGAACCUGCGGAAGGAUCAUUACAUGAUUUGAGGGGGCUCACGUCCCCUCAUCCAACCCACAAACCCCGAGGAACUUUUAUGUCGAGUGGUUCGGCGCUCUCUUUGAGAGCCGCCCCUCAAACGCAUCGCAGGCUUUUCGUGAAGGUCUGAUGUGUCACAUCGUGAGUAUUAAAACUUUCAGCAACGGAUCUCU
rnacentral:misc_RNA from 1 species